GAUGAACGCUGGCGGCGUGCCUAAUACAUGCAAGUCGAGCGAACGGACGAGAAGCUUGCUUCUCUGAUGUUAGCGGCGGACGGGUGAGUAACACGUGGAUAACCUACCUAUAAGACUGGGAUAACUUCGGGAAACCGGAGCUAAUACCGGAUAAUAUUUUGAACCGCAUGGUUCAAAAGUGAAAGACGGUCUUGCUGUCACUUAUAGAUGGAUCCGCGCUGCAUUAGCUAGUUGGUAAGGUAACGGCUUACCAAGGCAACGAUGCAUAGCCGACCUGAGAGGGUGAUCGGCCACACUGGAACUGAGACACGGUCCAGACUCCUACGGGAGGCAGCAGUAGGGAACCUUCCGCAAUGGGCGAAAGCCUGACGGAGCAACGCCGCGUGAAUGAUGAAGGUCUUCGGAUCGUAAAACUCUGUUAUUAGGGAAGAACAUAUGUGUAAGUAACUGUGCACAUCUUGACGGUACCUAAGCAGAAAGCCACGGCUAACUACGU
rnacentral:rRNA from 1 species